ACAACUAUCUGAUUUGAAGAUUUAUCAAGCCCUCACGGGAGACCCCACGGAAAGGAUUAAACAUCAGAUUAGCAAUACACUACAAAGAGGACUGGACAGUGGCUUUUUCACUUUGGAACUUAGCCAAUAUUUAUUACAAAAUUCAUCCAAAACUCCGGUCAUAUAUACACUUCCAAAGGUUCAUAAGAACUCAACCAAUUGUAUCUGCCGUAGAUGGCAUUUUAUAACCAGUUGGACUUUUUAUUUAAAGAAACCGUUGAGAAUCUGGAGACUUGUAUUAAGGAUACAC